UGUAGCUCAAUUGGUAGAGCAUCUGCUUGCCAUGCAGAAGGUCGUGGGUUCGAAGCCCAUCACU
rnacentral:tRNA from 1 species